CCUACGGGAGGCAGCAGUUAGGAAUCUUGGACAAUGGGCGAAAGCCUGAUCCAGCCAUGCCGCGUGAGUGAUGAAGGCCCUAGGGUUGUAAAGCUCUUUCAGCGGGGAAGAUAAUGACGGUACCCGCAGAAGAAGCCCCGGCUAACUUCGUGC
rnacentral:rRNA from 1 species